rnacentral:tRNA from 1 species
UCCCUGGUGGCUCAGAUGGUAAAAGCAUCUGCCUACAAUGCAGGAGGCCUGGGUUUGAUCCCUGGGUUGGGAA